GACGAACGCUGGCGGCGUGCCUAACACAUGCAAGUCAGGGGGAAAGCUGGCUUCGGCCAGGUGCCUAACACAUGCAAGUCAGGGGGAAAGCUGGCUUCGGCCAGUGAGUACACCGGCGGACGGGUGAGUAACGCGUGAGCAACCUACCCCGCAGACCGGGAUAACCCAUCGAAAGGUGGGCUAAUACUGGAUGAGCGCACGUGCUGCAUGGCAUGUGUGAAAAGGCAGGCAUUAAGCUUGCGCUGCGGGAUGGGCUCGCGUCCCAUUAGCUAGUUGGUGAGGUAACGGCUCACCAAGGCUACGAUGGGUAGCCGGCCUGAGAGGGUGGUCGGCCACAUUGGGACUGAGACACGGCCCAGACUCCUACGGGAGGCAGCAGUGGGGAAUAUUGCGCAAUGCCGGAAACGGUGACGCAGCGACGCCGCGUGGGCGAGGAAGGCCUUCGGGUCGUAAAGCCCUUUCAGUGGGGAAGAAAGGUCCAGGCAGUAACUGGUCUGGAUUUGACGGUACCCACAGAAGAAGCCCCGGCUAACUCCGUGCCAGCAGCCGCGGUAAUACGGAGGGGGCGAGCGCUGUUCGGAGUCACUGGGCGUAAAGCGCACGUAGGCGGUGCGGUAAGUCUGGGGU
rnacentral:rRNA from 1 species